rnacentral:lncRNA from 1 species
CAGCACACGCCUCGCCCACGCCCCCUGCAGGCUGCAGCUCGAUCCGCCGCCGGCCGCCGCAGCUCAGAUGGAUGCGCCGAUGGAUGCGCCGCCGCAGCUCAGCUCAGAUGGAUGCGCCGCCGCCAAAAACGAAAAUGGGGAAUUUUUUCCCUCCCACAUGCGCCCAGUAGCCCUAAAGGACACAUUGAGAUGUUUUUCUGAUAAUACCCCUAAACAGAUAACAUUCUCCUGAGUUCACAGAGGGUAUUUUUGGAUAAGCUAAAAAACCGCCCCGGUUCACAUGCAACCGCCCGGUUCACCGGUUCGACGAAAAACCGGCCGGUUCUACCGGUUUUUAGCGGUUCAAUUACACGAGCGAUCUUUUAAGUGAACCAGACCGGUGGAGGCUUCGGUUCGGUCUUUUAGAGGUCGAACCGCCGGUCCGGUCCGGUUCGAAUAUCUAUGGUAUCUGGUUGAUUAUGUUAAGAAUCAAACUCAACCACAUAUAUAUUAUCUAUAAAUAUGGCAAGUCCUGUACUACUUUCAUGCUAUCAGACCGAGACACCACUGCAAAAUAAGAGGAACCACGUGUAUAAGAUCAUGUUUCAUUUAUCUUCUCUUUCACAAGACAACAACACAUCAUUGGAAACAAAUCUCUACUACUUUCUCUAAUUUGUCAAAGUACUUUACUCAUAGGUCAGAUCUAGCCUUUUUACUUUUAACUGUAUAUUAUGACAAUUGGGAAACAAUAUAGCUUCAGAACUUCUAAUCAUGUUCAACCUUUCAUAAUGGUCUUGGAGUUCUAGGAUAAAAAGAAAAAAAAUGACAUAUUCAAAUCAACUGUUAUCUAUGCAUCAAACUCCCUCAAAAAACAAAAAUUGUUAAAAAAUAUUAAACAUGCUCUCUAGCAACUUAACCGGAAAACUCAUAAGCACAAAUAGAAGAACACCACUAAGUGUCCUAAGAUACCCACAAUAGUACAAAUGAUACAACUGGCACAAAAUAAGAUCUAUCUUAUUUUGUGUUGAAUACUGACUUUUUAGAUAAGUAAAAAAAAUCAGCAGUUAGCACUGAUCAUUUUCUCUUUAUACCAAACAAAAUCACUGUUUUAGAAAGACAAAUUUAUUCCAUAGUAAAAUGAAGAAGUGAAAUCAUCGAAGGGCGUGACGAAGACAUGUUCAGGUGCUCGGUUUGGCACAACACGAAGGGAAGAGAAGGGUGGGCAUACUUGUUGGGUGCUCAUCUCCGACAAAGGACAUGAUGAAGACAUGAGCACCUGGCACGUGGUGGCGACACGAGGCAGCGAGAUGCAAGAUGGCGGAGGGUGGUGGAGUGAGUGUGACGAGGUAGGGGCAGGCCUCCCGCAUCAGCAAGGAGAAUAGGGAGGCAGCGAGGAAGGGCAAAGAGGAGGCAUCGUGGUCCAGUGACAUCGACGGUCGUGGAACGUGGCUGUGGGGUAGGGUAGAUAACAACGAGUAGGCGAAAAUUUAUAGACAAUGCAAAAGCCUUGAGAUUUGGAACCGAAUAGCAACGAGUAGGCAUAAGUCUUUAAAAAUAUAAACUUUAAAUUAU